GUUACUGCUAUCGGAGUUCGAUUAAGCCAUGCGAGUCUAAAGGUUUCUUCGGAAACCUUGGCGGACUGCUCAGUAACACGUGGAUAACCUACCCUUGGGACUGGAAUAACCCCGGGAAACUGGGGAUAAUACCGGAUAGAUCAGGGAUGCUGGAAUGCGCCUUGAUCCAAAGCUCCGGCGCCCAAGGAUGGGUCUGCGGCCUAUCAGGUAGUAGUGGGUGUAACGUACCUACUAGCCAACGACGGGUACGGGUUGUGAGAGCAAGAGCCCGGAGAUGGAUUCUGAGACACGAAUCCAGGCCCUACGGGGUGCAGCAGGCGCGAAACCUUUACAAUGUGCGAAAGCAUGAUAAGGGAACUCCGAGUGCCAGUAUCUAAUACUGGCUGUCCUUGUGCCUAAAACGCACAAGGUAGCAAGGGCCGGGUAAGACCGGUGCCAGCCGCCGCGGUAACACCGGCGGCCCGAGUGGUAGCCGCUAUUAUUGGGUCUAAAGGGUCCGUAGCCGGUUCGAUAAGUCCUCUGGGAAAUCUGGUUGCUUAACAAUCAGACUGCCAAGGGAUACUGUCGAACUUGAGACCGGGAGAGGUAAGAGGUACUUCAGGGGUAGGAGUGAAAUCUUGUAAUCCCUGGGGGACCAUCUGUGGCGAAGGCGUCUUACCAGAACGGGUCUGACGGUGAGGGACGAAAGCUGGGGGCGCAAACCGGAUUAGAUACCCGGGUAGUCCCAGCCGUAAACGAUGCUCGCUAUGUGUCAGGUACGGUGUGACCGUAUCUGGUGCCGUAGGGAAGCCGUGAAGCGAGCCACCUGGGAAGUACGGCCGCAAGGCUGAAACUUAAAGGAAUUGGCGGGGGAGCACUACAACGGGUGGAGCCUGCGGUUUAAUUGGAGUCAACGCCGGA
rnacentral:rRNA from 1 species